GCCAUUCUUCAUCACUAGUGGGACAUCCAGGGGGACAGACCAGGCCACAUGAUGGCACACACUCAAACCCAUCCCCAUGGUGACAGUCAUGGGUGAACACACUCAAACCCAUCCCCAUGGUGAUAGCCAUGAGUGAACAUACUCAAACCCAUCCCCAUGGUGACAGCCAUGAGUGAACACACUCAAACCCAUGGUGACAGUCAUGGUGAACACACUCAAACCCAUCCCCAUGGUGACAGCCAUGAGUGAACACACUCAAACCCAUCCCCAUGGUGACAGCCAUGAGUGAACACACUCAAACCCAUCCCCAUGGUGACAGCCAUGAGUGAACACACUCAAACCCAUCCCCAUGGUGACAGCCAUGAGUGAACACACUCAACCCCAUCCCCAUGGUGACAGCCAUGGGCGAACACACUCAAACCCAUCCCCAUGGUGACAGUCAUGGGCGAACACACUCAAACCCAUCCCCAUGGUGACAGUCAUGGGUGAACACACUCAACCCCAUCCCCAUGGUGACAGUCAUGGGUGAACACACUCAACCCCAUCCCCAUGGUGACAGUCAUGGGUGAACACACUCAAAACCAUCCCCAUGGUUACAGUCAUGGGUGAACACACUCAAAACCAUCCCCAUGGUUACAGUCAUGGGUGAACACACUCAAAACCAUCCCCAUGGUUACAGUCAUGGGUGAACACACUCAAAACCAUCCCCAUGGUUACAGUCAUGGGUGAACACACUCAAAACCAUCCCCAUGGUUACAGUCAUGGGUGAACACACUCGAACCCAUCCCCAUGGUGACAGUCAUGGGUGAACACACUCAAAACCAUCCCCAUGGUUACAGUCAUGGGUGAACACACUCAAACCCAUCCCCAUGGUGACAGCCAUGGGUGAACACACUCAAACCCAAACUCAGUCCUGCCCGUGCACGUUUGUUUUUUUUGCCCUUGCACUACACAGCUGAUAAUAAAAACACUCGUCAAGCUUUGAAUAUUUUUAAAUCAGCUGUGUAGCGUUAGGGCAAAAACCAAAACGGGGCCCCA
ensembl:lncRNA